rnacentral:lncRNA from 1 species
UUACCUAAACUAUUCUUACCAUAUGGAGAAAAAUACCUCAAGAUUCGAUUCAUAAUAAGCUAAAAAUAACAUUUAGGAUGAAAAAUAGAAUCCAACAAGAUCAAGAUCCGCUCAAAAAGUCCAGACGGAGAAGAUACGUACGAGGAAGCAAGCCAGAAGCAACUGGUAUGGCCCACGGGCCGCCAAAGGGACCUAUGGGCUGGCGCAGGUUGGUGGCUGCAUGAGCCAGCCCAAGCGCAUAUGGGCCGACUGCGGGCAUGCACGAAUGCAGCCCAGCAUAUGGCCCCGACCCAGCGUGGGUGCCCAGG